GCAGGCCUAACACAUGCAAGUCGAACGGUAACAGGGAUAGCAAUAUCUGCUGACGAGUGGCGCACGGGUGAGUAACACGUUUGCAACCUACCUUUGACUGGGGCAUAGCCCGGAGAAACUCGGACUAAUACCCCAUAAUAUUUACGGGAGGCAUCUUUUGUAAACUAAAGCUUCGGCGGUCAAAGAUGGGCAUGCGUACCAUUAGCUUGUUGGCGAGGUAAAGGCUCACCAAGGCAACGAUGGUUAGGGGGUCUGAGAGGAUGAUCCCCCACACUGGUACUGAGACACGGACCAGACUCCUACGGGAGGCAGCAGUGAGGAAUAUUGGGCAAUGGACGCAAGUCUGACCCAGCCAUGCCGCGUGCAGGAUGACGGCGCUAUGCGUUGUAAACUGCUUUUGUAUGGGAAGAAAUCCCCGGACGUGUUCGGGGUUGACGGUACCAUUCGAAUAAGCAUCGGCUAACUCCGUGCCAGCAGCCGCGGUAAUACGGAGGAUGCAAGCGUUAUCCGGAUUUAUUGGGUUUAAAGGGUGCGUAGGCGGAGGAUUAAGUCAGUAAUGAAAUCCUGCAGCUUAACUGUAGAACUGUUAUUGAUACUGGUUUUCUUGAAUAUAGUUGAGGCAGGCGGAAUGUGUAAUGUAGCGGUGAAAUGCUUAGAUAUUACACAGAACACCGAUUGCGAAGGCAGCUUGCUAAACUGUAAUUGACGCUGAGGCACGAAAGCGUGGGUAGCAAACAGGAUUAAAUACCCUGGUA
rnacentral:rRNA from 1 species